CUUACUCUUUUCCUGUUUAUUGAAAAAGGUCUUUUAAGUCUCUUCGGAAGGAGUUAACAAUACAACACAAUCUGUUAACUUUUACUUAGACACCUCCUGUUCACAGUGUACUGUGGCGUGUCUCUUAAUGUAACUGAGACUAAUACACGGAAAGAGGUGUUGGUAUAAGUGUAAACUAAGCAGAGACUAAAGUAUGAGUAAUAAGUGAACCACCGACAAGGGAUGUUCUUGUUAAGGCCUGCACGGAACUGGCUAGUCAUACGAUGCUGCUCUCUACCCUGUUGUGAACUGCAAGGUCAUAUGAAAAUACAGAUGACAACUGCACUAGAUAUUUUCCAAAAAGUCUGCUCCCAGGCUCUCCUGGCAGUCUCCAGCACUGGUGCAGCUCAUUACAACCAUCCAGCGCUGACUUACUUUAGAGGGUGAAAUCUCUUCACGUGCUGAGAGUAAUGAGAUCGGUACCACCAAUGGAGAUGAGCCAGGAUCUUAACGAAUGCUGCAAAAGGUUUUUGACAGCAUCUGCCCUCUCAUCAGCACACACAACAGCUCUCCAUCUGUGCCAUCAUCCAGCCAUACUCUGGGACCGCAUCACCCCUUCACGAAUUAGGCCACUAUGCUGUUAAGGACGAUGCAUCUUCGAUGGUAUCCAUACACACUGAGGUUUCUCACACUGCUCUGAAGCUACAUUUGGAUUAUCACAAUUUUCAAAAACUUGAAGACAAUCCUAAGAAAAUGGAAAAGAUGGAACCAGAUUUUUCACAGAGAUAGAAUGUCUCCCCCAUCACAGGGGCAGCAACAUGCUCCCUCACUUUUUUGAUGGAAACCAUGGAGCACUCAAAUGCAUUCAGCAUGACAAAAGACUGAAAGGGAAAAAUUUCUAUCCAGCUUCUGAAAUGUCAAAUAAAAUGUCAGUUGGCACUGUAAUAAAAAAGGAAAACCUAACAUAAAACAGGA